rnacentral:rRNA from 1 species
CAACUCCGACUUCAUGUGGGCGGGUUGCAGCCCACAAUCCGAACUUCGACCGCUUUUGUGAGAUCCGCUCCGGCUCGCGCUUUCGCUUCUCUCUGUAUCGGCCAUUGUAGCACGUGUGUAGCCCAGGUCAUAAGGGGCAUGAUGAUUUGACGUCGUCCCCACCUUCCUCCGAGUUGUCCCCGGCAGUCUCAAUAGAGUCCUCGCCUCUACGCGUUAGUAACUAUCAAUAAGGGUUGCGCUCGUUGCGGGACUUAACCCAACAUCUCACGACACGAGCUGACGACAACCAUGCACCACCUGUCUCAGUUCCCCCGAAGGGACACUAUCUUUCAACAGCUUUAACUGGAUGUCAAGACCUGGUAAGGUUCUUCGCGUUGCGUCGAAUUAAACCACAUGCUCCGCUGCUUGUGCGGGCCCCCGUCAAUUCCUUUGAGUUUUAAUCUUGCGACCGUACUCCCCAGGCGGAAUGCUUAUUGUGUUAACUGCGGCACAGAAGGGGUCGAUACCUCCUACACCUA